ensembl:lncRNA
GUGGGAGACGUUUUAUAUGCGUUACUAAUCUAUUUCUAAUGGAUUUUCUUCUCGACACAGAAAUCAAGAGAUAACAAUUUAUUGUCUGCGGAUCGUUGACGUGGAGUUUAGAAAAGAGAUCCUAUCCUACCGGCGUUGCUCUACCAGCCGGCCAUCAAGUGGCUCGAUAGGGAAAUGCAGGUGUGUGUGCGUGUGUGGAAAGCAUCUUAUCUGGGAUGCUGUCUACCCCAUGCCCCCUCCUUUCGUUCUCCUCUCUCGCUACGCUCCUCCGAGCCGCUCGCUCUCCAGCUAUUGCUGCCAGGAGCAGUGUGUAGUACAAUUUGACAGCAGCAGCGCUGGCUUUCUAAAGAAAGCUUAUCUCUCACUUUUCUGUAUGUCUCAUUACUGCUCUCAUUGUCUCUUUCAACAACGAGAAACGGAGCAGUACACUUGGGGCCUGUAUUUGGAAUAAGAAAGCCUUGCUGUUUUCUGACUGGAGAGAAGGAAGAUAAGACUCCUCUGGAUUUCCUAAGGAAUUUUGUCUGGACGCUUUGUUACCGUGGCUAUUGAAUUCAUCAGCUGGGGUAUAUAUGUGCACCAGGGCCUCCCGCUCUUUCUAUUCUGGUUAGAGCCAGUUUGCAGUAUUCUGUGAAGGGAGUCGUACCAUCCAUCAACUGACAGCCCAGAUCAAUGUGUGUUGCCGUUUCCUGCCAUGUGCCCCAGGGGUCAGUGUUUGGUCCUCUUCUCAUAUACUUCGUAACCCAAGGGUGAAAGGGUGCGACAUCACGAAGUGAACUCCCACUACGUUGCUGACGACGCGCCCGGCUCGACUUCCCCACCAAACCGACCGCUCCACCUUCCUCUCGCAUCCGUCAUCCACUCAACCAGAACUCAGACGGGUCCAGAACACUCCAGACAGAACCCUGUCCGGUACCACGUCAACUGAACCUCAAAACACUCCUAAUCAGUCUACUUGCUCAUUGAGCCGCUGUGUCCUAUUGACAUUCAAACACAAAGCCCUCUGUAUCUCGGCUCCCAUCCGUCUCUCAGACCUUCUCCUAAUCCCCUCCCUCCCCUGAUGUUCUCAGUCAUGUUAAAAUCAAAAUGCAAAUAAUGUUUCAAAAAUGUCCCAAAACCAAGGAAAAAAAAAAAUGAUUUAAUGAAAAGGGGUGUUUAAUUUGGUGGAAAUAUCAGUGCCAGGCGUUGUCGGAGAGGCUCUUUUUUAAUUAACUUCUUUACCCUUUGUUUAUUUAGAUCCCCAUUUAAUGUGGGCUGAAGGAACACUUCUUUGAAUGGAUGUGCUUUGCAGAAGCUGCAGGAACCUUUCACAUUUCCCCCUAAGUGAAAAUGAAUACAUUAUUUUUAACACCUUGUUAAUUUUUUUUACUAUAGAUUUACAUUUUCUCCCUCAUUAUCACGGUACAGACGCGCUCUCUCUCUCUCUCUCUCUUUUUUACAGCUCAGAGGGUGAGAGAUUUCAUUUUAGUCGCUGCUUAAUUAUGUAGGUGUUGAAAUGUAAUUAAUGAAAGGGUAGGCUGACUUCAUUAUUCCAACACAUUUUAGACUCACAGGAUAAAAGAAAGAGAUCUCAUUUAGGGAAGCCAUGUUCUGAGAAAUUAUUUUUCUUCGCCCCUCUCCUCACCUGUCCCGCCAGUCACCCAAAACUGUGUGACAAAUACUGGCUGACAGAAAUUGGGAGAGGAAAAAAAAUGGUGUGAAAUAAAUAAAACAGGUAAUUUUAUUGUAUUGUUGUAAC